AUUGAACGCUGGCGGCAGGCCUAACACAUGCAAGUCGAGCGAGCGGCGGACGGGGGUGUAAUGUCUGGGAAACAGCCUGAGGGAGGGGGAUAACUACUGUAAAAGGUAGCUAAUACCGCAUACCAUCAGAGGUGCCCAGAUGGGAUGUGCUAGUAGGUGGGGUAAAGGCUCACCUAGGGGAGGAUCCCUAGCUGGUCUGAGAGGAUGACCAGCCACACUGGAACUGAGACACGGUCACGACUCCUACGGGCGGCAGCAGUGGGGAAUAUUGCACAAUGGGCGCAAGCCUGAUGCAGCCAUGCCGCGUGUGUGAAGAAGGCCUUCGGGUUGUAAAGCACUUUCAGCGGGGAGGCGUUACCCGCAGAAGAAGCACCGGCUAACUCCGUGCCAGCAGCCGCGGUAAUUC
rnacentral:rRNA from 1 species